ACUCCUGCGGGAGGCAGCAGUGGGGAAUAUUGGACAAUGGGCGCAAGCCUGAUCCAGCCAUGCCGCGUGAGUGAUGAAGGCCCUAGGGUUGUAAAGCUCUUUCACCGGUGAAGAUAAUGACGGUAACCGGAGAAGAAGCCCCGGCUAACUUCGUGCCAGCAGCCGCGGUAAUACGAAGGGGGCUAGCGUUGUUCGGAUUUACUGGGCGUAAAGCGCACGUAGGCGGACUAUUAAGUCAGGGGUGAAAUCCCGGGGCUCAACCCCGGAACUGCCUUUGAUACUGGUAGUCUGGAGUUCGAGAGAGGUGAGUGGAAUUCCGAGUGUAGAGGUGAAAUUCGUAGAUAUUCGGAGGAACACCAGUGGCGAAGGCGGCUCACUGGCUCGAUACUGACGCUGAGGUGCGAAAGCGUGGGGAGCAAACAGGAUUAGAAACCCUGGUAGUCCCA
rnacentral:rRNA from 1 species